rnacentral:misc_RNA from 1 species
GAAAUGCGAUACGUAAUGUGAAUUGCAGAAUUCAGUGAAUCAUCGAAUCUUUGAACGCAUAUUGCGCCUUCUGGUAUUCCGGAGGGCAUGCUUGUUUGAGUAUCAGUAACAACCUCAACUCUUCUUCAUUGCGGAGAAAGAGUUGGAUUUGAGCAUUUCCACAAGUUCGUCUUGGAGGAUUGCUUGAAAUAUGAGGUUCGGCCGGCAGUUGCCUGGGCUACAAGCAUUUCUGCUUAGUCCGGUCAAACGGAUUAUACCUUUUUGCUGCAGCCAAACGAUAGUUGGGCUCCCGAAACGCUGACUGAUGCAGGAUAAUAUUUGACAGAUUUCGAGGGGGUUUUUUUUUUCUCCCUUCGAUCUUUGUUUGUUCCACUCGAUCUCAAAUCAAGUAAGACUACCC